rnacentral:rRNA from 1 species
UGCAGCGGCCAUAGGAGGGUGGUAACGCCUGUUCCCAUCCCGAACACAGAAGCUAAGCGCCCUCACGGUGGUCUCAGUACUGAGCUAUGCUCGGGAAAAGCCACUGCUGCUGCAC